AACUUUGGGUUUUUUCUUUUUUCCGCCAUUUGAUUUCUUUCACGGCAUAUUUUGAACAAAAUGAGUUCAAUAAUUAGGGUUUUUAAUCUUUAUUGUGUCUAGUAUGAUUUAAAAUUUUCAAUUUUACGUAAUCUGGUCAAUUACAGCAAGAAAUUUGAUAUGAACAGUGAGAUGUCUGCGGAACCAAAUUCCGCUGUUUUUUUUUUUUUUCUGCCUUUUGAUUUUGUUUUCAUGAUAUAUUAGAAAUAAUGUGUUAAAAAUUUAGGUUUUUGAUUCCUUAUAUUGUUGUUUAUCAGAAAAUAUACUCAAUUGGAUGUAAUUUAUUCA
rnacentral:lncRNA from 1 species